AACCCUAAAAAGUUCUUUAAACACAAAGGUUUGGUCCCAACCUUGAAGUCAAUUUUUACUUAAUAUACACAUGCAAGUCUCCGCACCCCUGUGAAAACGCCCUUAAAUCCCUUGUAGGGAUAAGGAGCUGGUAUCAGGCUCCCAUAAAGCCCAAGACACCUAGCUUUGCCACACCCACACGGGAACUCAGCAGUGAUUAAUAUUGAUCAUAAGCGCAAGCUUGAUUCAGUCAAAGUAAAUAGGGCCGGCAAAUCUGGUGCCAGCCGCCGCGGUUACACCAUGUGGCUCAAAUUGACCUCUUCCGGCGUAAAGCGUGAUUAAAGCUACCUAAAACCUGUAGUUAAACUAAAAUUAAGUUGUGAUACGCUUAUUUUAAGGAAACCCAAAAACGAAAGUCACUACAACCAAACCAACUUGAAUUCACGACAGCUGGGGAACAAACUGGGAUUAGAUACCCCACUAUGCCCAGCCGUAAACCUUAACUUACAUCAAAAUCGCCAGGGAACUACGAGCCAAGCUUAAAACUCAAAGGACUUGACGGUACCCCAUAUCCACCUAGAGGAGCCUGUUCUAUAAUCGAUAACCCCCGUUUAACCUCACCACCUUUAGCCUAUCAGCCUGUAUACCUCCGUCGUCAGCUUACCACGUGAGCGGCCUCAGUGAGCUCAAUGUCCACUCGUCAAAACGUCAGGUCAAGGUGCAACUUAUAAGGUGGGAAGAAAUGGGCUACACUCUCUAAUCUAGAAUAUACGAAAGACUACCCAUGAAAAAUAGUCUAAAGGCGGAUUUAGUAGUAAAAAGAGACAAGAGAGCUCUUUUUAACCCGGCACUGGGGUGUGUACACACCGCCCGUCACCCUCUUCAAAGCUAACAACCUAGUAUUUAACUCACUAAGGCACCAAAGAAGAGGCAAGUCGUAACAUGGUAAGUAUACCGGAAGGUGUGCUUGGAAC
rnacentral:ncRNA from 1 species